GUCGAGCGGCAGCGGAAGUACCUUGCUACUUUGCCGGCGAGCGGCGGAGGGGUGAGUAGUGUCUGGGAAACUGCCUGAUGGAGGGGGAUAACUACUGGAAACGGUAGCUAAUACCGCAUAACGUCGCGAGACCAAAGGGGGGGACCUUCGGGCCUCGUGCCAUCAUAUGUGCCCAGAUGGGAUUAUCUAGUAGGUGGGGUAACGGCUCACCUAGGCGACUAUCCCUAUGUGGUCUGAGAGGAUGACCAGCCACAGUGGAACUGAGACACGGUCCACACUCCUACGGGAGGCAGCAGUGGGGAAUAUUGCACAGUGGGCRCAAGCCUGAUGCACCCGUGCCGCGUGUAUGAAGAAGGCCUUCGGGUUGUAAAGUACUUUCAGCGGGGAAGAAGGUGUUGGGGCUAAUAACCUCCGCUUUUGACUUUCCCCGCAAAAAAAGCACCGGCUAACUCCGUGCCAGCGGCCGCGGUUAUACAGAGGGUGCAAGCGUUAAUCAAAAUUACUGGGCGUAAAGCGCACGCGGGCGGUCUGUCAAGUCAGAUGUGAAAUCCCCGGGCUCCACCUGGGAACUGCUUUCAAAACUGGCAGGCUAGAGUCUUGUAGAGGGGGGUAGAAUUCCGGGUGUAGCGGUGAAAUGCAUAGAUAUCUGGAAGAAUACCGGUGGCGAACGCCGCCCUCUGGACAAACACUGACUCUCAUGUGCAAAAGCGUGGGGAGCAAACGGGAUUAUAUACUCUGAUACUCCACCCCAUAAAAKAUGUCSAUGUGGAGGUUGUGCCCUUGAGGUGUGUYUUCCAGAUGUAACGCUUUAACUCCACCGCCUGGRGAGUACCGCCCGCAGGGUUAAAACUCAAAUAAAUU
rnacentral:rRNA from 1 species